AGUCCUGUGGGGUAGUGGUCUAGCCCAGCGUAUGAUCACGUCUAGAAACCGCAGACGCUGGUUCGAAUCCAGCCAGGACUU